rnacentral:rRNA from 3 species
UGUUUGAUGUUCUAACGUGGACCCGUGAUCCGGGUUGCGGACAGUGUCUGGUGGGUAGUUUGACUGGGGCGGUCUCCUCCUAAAGAGUAACGGAGGAGCACGAAGGUUGGCUAAUCCUGGUCGGACAUCAGGAGGUUAGUGCAAUGGCAUAAGCCAGCUUGACUGCGAGCGUGACGGCGCGAGCAGGUGCGAAAGCAGGUCAUAGUGAUCCGGUGGUUCUGAAUGGAAGGGCCAUCGCUCAACGGAUAAAAGGUACUCCGGGGAUAACAGGCUGAUACCGCCCAAGAGUUCAUAUCGACGGCGGUGUUUGGCACCUCGAUGUCGGCUCAUCACAUCCUGGGGCUGAAGUAGGUCCCAAGGGUAUGGCUGUUCGCCAUUUAAAGUGGUACGCGAGCUGGGUUUAGAACGUCGUGAGACAGUUCGGUCCCUAUCUGCCGUGGGCGCUGGAGAACUGAGGGGGGCUGCUCCUAGUACGAGAGGACCGGAGUGGACGCAUCACUGGUGUUCGGGUUGUCAUGCCAAUGGCACUGCCCGGUAGCUAAAUGCGGAAGAGAUAAGUGCUGAAAGCAUCUAAGCACGAAACUUGCCCCGAGAUGAGUUCUCCCUGACCCUUUAAGGGUCCUGAAGGAACGUUGAAGACGACGACGUUGAUAGGCCGGGUGUGUAAGCGCAGCGAUGCGUUGAGCUAACCGGUACUAAUGAACCGUGAGGCUUAACCUUACAACGCCGAAG